GACGAACGCUGGCGGCGUGCUUAACACAUGCAAGUCGAGCGGUAAGGCCUUUCGGGGUACACGAGCGGCGAACGGGUGAGUAACACGUGGGUGAUCUGCCCUGCACUUCGGGAUAAGCCUGGGAAACUGGGUCUAAUACCGGAUAUGACCUCCUAUCGCAUGGUGGGUGGUGGAAAGAUUUAUCGGUGCAGGAUGGGCCCGCGGCCUAUCAGCUUGUUGGUGGGGUAAUGGCCUACCAAGGCGACGACGGGUAGCCGACCUGAGAGGGUGACCGGCCACACUGGGACUGAGACACGGCCCAGACUCCUACGGGAGGCAGAAGUGGGGAAUAUUGCACAAUGGGCGAAAGCCUGAUGCAGCGACGCCGCGUGAGGGAUGACGGCCUUCGGGUUGUAAACCUCUUUCAGCAGGGACGAAGCGCAAGUGACGGUACCUGCAGAAGAAGCACCGGCUAACUACGUG
rnacentral:rRNA from 1 species